GUCUUCGUUGAGCAGGGUUGCUCACUUCCUUCAACUGGUGCGUUUACUGGCUUGGAUCCUGGAAGGACCGGUGGUUCGACUCCACUCGAAGACA